GGGCUCGUAGUUCAUCGGCAGAAUGCGCCCCUCGCACGGGUGAGGCACCGGGUUCAAUUCCCGGCGAGUCCA
rnacentral:tRNA from 1 species